rnacentral:rRNA from 1 species
GACGAACGCUGGCGGCGUGCUUAACACAUGCAAGUCGAACGGAAAGGCCCUGCUUUUGUGGGUUUCUCGAGUGGCGAACGGGUGAGUAACACGUGAGUAACCUGCCCUUGACUUUGGGAUAACUUCAGGAAACUGGGGCUAAUACCGGAUAUGAGCUCCUGCUGCAUGGUGUGGUUUGGAAAGUUUCGGCGGUUGGGGAUGGACUCGCGGCUUAUCAGCUUGUUGGUGGGGUAGUGGCUUACCAAGGGUUUGACGGGUAGCCGGCCUGAGAGGGUGACCGGCCACAUUGGGACUGAGAUACGGACCAGACUCCUACGGGAGGCAGCAGUGGGGAAUAUUGCACAAUGGGGGGAAGCCUGAUGCAGAAACGCCGCGUGCGGGAUGACGGCCUUCGGGUUGUAAACCGCUUUCGAAUGUGACGAAGAGUGAGUGACGGUAAUGGGUAAAGAAGCACCGGCUAACUACGUG